AAUGGAUUAUCCUUAAUCUAGGAAUACCAACAUCGAAUCUACGCUCAUGGGACCAUCAUUGGAAGACGGAAUUAUGGUCCAGAUCAUUCCCCUUGUUCCAACAGGGUGACAGAUUUGUUUGAAAGUUCAACUACUCAGGUAAUCUUACGGUCAAAGAGGCUAACAAAUGGCGUAUAAAACUAUCUGCAACAACUGCUUGCCAAUUCGAGCAGAACUUGAUAAAGAUAUACCUGGUAUCGAUUCUCGUUGCCCACCGUGUUUCACGGAAGAUAAAACACUAGACCAUCUUUUGCAUGAGCGGUCUAGUUCAUACCCAAAAGCUACAGGCUUCUGAUAUACAGGGAUGGAUUGUAAGUUGGGUGGGGGAUUUAAAAUUUGAUAGGAUAUUGCAAGUACCUUUGUUCAGUAUAUCAAACCGAGGAAACCAACGCUAACACCAGAGUCAACCAGGAAUCCUUUAUAUCUCCAAACCAAUCACUGCUCCGCUCAAAUACACCUGUGAGUCACCUCUUAGUGUUACCGUUGCCGCAAACAGCAACAGGUCAGGCAAACGAUCAACCCCAAUAUCAUCAGACAAAGAACUUCAGCAGGUUCCAGAUUGCAAUGCAAGUUGUUCCUACGCCAAGCUUUACUGCAUCUUGAUACAGUUUCUAUUUUCUUUUGACCAUGUAUUAAAAAAAAAAAGUGUCAUUCAUUAUAACAGCAAAA